GGGCCGUGCUCCGAAUACUGCAAUGUCUGCUUCGAUCCCGAGCUCCCCGCUCCGCACGCCCAGGGGUACCGGCCCACGGGGCUAACGGUCUAUUGCCCGGGAUGCAUCCAAAGGAGAAACACGCCGAGCGAGCCCCGGCUGCACAGGGCGAUCCGUGUUCGCACCCCAGCGGGGAACCCAGCAGCGGCGGCGGCAGGGGAGAAAGCGAGAAGAGACGGGGUGAGCGAGGGAGGCUGAGCCCAGCCCCGGCGCCCCCCACCCCGCGCCCCCCGGAGCCCCGCUCACCUGGGUUGACCAGCUUGCUCUUGUACCUCAGGCCGGUGCUCAUCCUGCGCUCCGGGCGGCGGCUCCCUAGUGCGCCGGCUUUGCAGAGACAGAGGCUCGCCGGGCGCCCCGCAGCCACGAGCGCUCUCCGCGUGCGCGUGUCGGCCGGGGCUGCUGCUGCCGCUGCUGCAUUACUGAGCUGGGCCGGCCCCGGGGAGCGCUCGUGCAGCCCAG